AUGGAGGCGGCGGCCUCAGCUGCUGUUGCGGCUGCCAAGGAGACGGCGCUGGCUGCGGCUGCUGCGGCAUCGGCUGCUUCCAAGGAGGCGGCGGCGGCGGCUGCGGCUGUGACGGAGGCAGCGGCGACCGUCAAGGAGGCGGCGGCGAAGGCUUCGGCUGCUGCGUUAAACGCGAAGGAGGCAGCGGCCGUGGCGACGGCUGCACGGGAGGCGGCGGCUGCCGCUGCCGCUAACGUCGCUGCCGCGACGGCAGCACUGCAAGCUUCAAAGAAGCGCAAGUUCCAUCUUGUCGACGACCAAGAUCCGCCGGGGAGUGGCAACUCCGAUGAUGUUGAUGUGGGGAGCGUCGAUCUCACUGAUGAAAUUGAUGGGGGAGCGUCGAUCACAUAA
rnacentral:rRNA from 1 species